rnacentral:rRNA from 1 species
GCAUGCUAGUCGUACGAGUUCACACUCGUGGCGAAUAGCUCAGUAACACGUGGCCAACUACCCUUCGGAGCUCGAUACCCUCGGGAAACUGAGGCUAAUAGAGCAUCCCACACUCCACCUGGAACGAGGAGUGUGCCAAACGCUCCGGCGCCGAAGGAUGUGGCUGCGGCCGAUUAGGUAGACGGUGGGGUAACGGCCCACCGUGCCAAUAAUCGGUACGGGUCAUGAGAGUGAGAACCCGGAGACGGAAUCUGAGACAAGAUUCCGGGCCCUACGGGGCGCAGCAGGCGCGAAACCUUUACACUGCACGCCAGUGCGAUAGGGGGAUCCCAAGUGCACAGGCAUAGUGCCUGUGCUUUUCGACACCCUAAGGCGGUGUCAGAAUAAGGGCUGGGCAAGACCGGUGCCAGCCGCCGCGGUAAUACCGGCAGCCCAAGUGAUGGCCGAUCUUAUUGGGCCUAAAGCGUCCGUAGCUGGCCGCGCAAGUCCAUCGGGAAAUCCGCCCGCUCAACGGGCGGACGCCCGGUGGAAACUGCGUGGCUUGGGACCGGAAGGCGCGACGGGUACGUCCGGGGUAGGAGUGAAAUCCCGUAAUCCUGGACGGACCGCCGAUGGCGAAAGCACGUCGCGAGAACGGAUCCGACAGUGAGGGACGAAAGCCAGGGUCUCGAACCGGAUUAGAUACCCGGGUAGUCCUGGCCGUAAACAAUGUCUGCUAGGUGUGGCUCCCGCUACGAGCGGGUGCUGUGCCGCAGGGAAGCCGCUAGCAGACCGCCUGGGAAGUACGUCCGCAAGGAUGAAACUUAAAGGAAUUGGCGGGGGAGCACUACAACCGGAGGAGCCUGCGGUUUAAUUGGACUCAACGCCGGACAUCUCACCAGCAUCGACUGUAGUAAUGACGAUCAGGUUGAUGACCUUAUCCGAGCUACAGAGAGGAGGUGCAUGGCCGCCGUCAGCUCGUACCGUGAGGCGUCCUGUUAAGUCAGGCAACGAGCGAGACCCGCACCCUUACUUGCCAGCAGUACCGCGAGGUAGCUGGGGACAGUAGGGGGACCGCCGUGGCUAACACGGAGGAAGGAACGGGCAACGGUAGGUCAGUAUGCCCCGAAUGUGCUGGGCAACACGCGGGCUACAAUGGUCGAGACAAAGGGUUCCAACUCCGAAAGGAGACGGUAAUCUCAGAAACUCGAUCGUAGUUCGGAUUGUGGGCUGCAACUCGCCCACAUGAAGCUGGAUUCGGUAGUAAUCGCGGCACA